GGAUAUGAGAGCGAUCUGGCUGCGACAUCUGUCGCUCCAUUGAUUUCCAGGGUUGAUUUGGCUGAUCUGGCCGGGCUAGGCAGGUGUCCCCUUCCUUCCUUACCCCUCCAUGUGCGUCCCUCCCAAAGUUGCACCCUGGGUCAAAGAGGACUAGCAUCCCUGAUAGAGGGAGACUGGUCUUCGGUCAGGAGUGUACGAGUAGCUGUGCUCCUCUUCUAGAACUGCCAAAAAAACUCUCAAGGUCCAUUUAGUAAAAAUGCAUGCAGUAUAUUGGAAAUGGAAGGAAACUAUUACUUUAAUUAGAUAGAAUAUCUACAAAUAAAAGAA
rnacentral:snRNA from 1 species